rnacentral:tRNA from 1 species
AUUUGUAUAGUAUAAUUAUAUUAUUUUUAACUUCCAAUUAAAAAAUCUUUUUCAAAAGUACAAAUA